UACAGAGGGGGCAAGCGUUGUUCGGAAUUACUGGGCGUAAAGGGCGCGUAGGCGGUCGCCUAAGUCAGACGUGAAAUCCCUCGGCUCAACCGGGGAACUGCGUCUGAUACUGGGUGGCUUGAAUCCGGGAGAGGGAUGCGGAAUUCCAGGUGUAGCGGUGAAAUGCGUAGAUAUCUGGAGGAACACCGGUGGCGAAGGCGGCAUCCUGGACCGGCAUUGACGCUGAGGCGCGAAAGCCAGGGGAGCAAACGGG
rnacentral:rRNA from 1 species